rnacentral:rRNA from 1 species
UACGGAGGGUGCAAGCGUUGUUCGGAAUCAUUGGGCGUAAAGCGCGUGUAGGCGGCUUGGCAAGUCGGUUGUGAAAUCCCGGGGCCCAACCCCGGAACUGCAAUCGAAACUGCCUCGCUAGAGUCCCGGAGAGGAAGGCGGAAUUCCCGGUGUAGAGGUGAAAUUCGUAGAUAUCGGGAGGAACACCAGUGGCGAAGGCGGCCUUCUGGACGGUGACUGACGCUGAGACGCGAAAGCGUGGGGAGCAAACAGG